AGACCCGAAACCCGGUGAUCUAGCCAUGGGCAGGUUGAAGGUUGGGUAACACUAACUGGAGGACCGAACCGACUAAUGUUGAAAAAUUAGCGGAUGACCUGUGGCUGGGGGUGAAAGGCCAAUCAAACCGGGAGAUAGCUGGUUCUCCCCGAAAGCUAUUUAGGUAGCGCCUCGUGAAUUCAUCUCCGGGGGUAGAGCACUGUUUCGGCUAGGGGGCCAUCCCGGCUUACCAACCCGAUGCAAACUGCGAAUACCGGAGAAUGUUAUCACGGGAGACACACGGCGGGUGCUAACGUCCGUCGUGAAGAGGGAAACAACCCAGACCGCCAGCUAAGGUCCCAAAGUCAUGGUUAAGUGGGAAACGAUGUGGGAAGGCCCAGACAGCCAGGAUGUUGGCUUAGAAGCAGCCAUCAUUUAAAGAAAGCGUAAUAGCUCACUGGUCGAGUCGGCCUGCGCGGAAGAUGUAACGGGGCUAAACCAUGCACCGAAGCUGCGGCAGCGACGUUUAUGCGUUGUUGGGUAGGGGAGCGUUCUGUAAGCCUGCGAAGGUGGCCUGUGAGGGUUGCUGGAGGUAUCAGAAGUGCGAAUGCUGACAUAAG
rnacentral:rRNA from 1 species